AAGUUGUAUGGAGCUGUGACAUAACACUGACAGACUGUACAGCAGAAAACAGCAGACCCAGCCUAUCAACUAAAGAACAAUGUGCAUCAUUUCUG